GUUGUAGACAUUUUAUCUGAAGAAGAAUGAUGGAGAAUGUCUACAGUAGAAUGAUUGGGAUGGUAGAAAGUUUGUGAACUUCAAAUCUUUUACAAAAGGGAAGCCUAAAGUGGGUAUCACCACCACAGGGAUAAGUGUGCACUGCUCAAGUGUACCGUUAGAAGACAUGACUUCAGUGUACCCUUCUUCACAACUGCAUGUCCUCAUCUGCAGGAGAACAAGAGGAUUUCUACUAUCCAUAGAAGGAAGACUUUGAAAAAACAAAGAGAAAUUGGAAGUUUACCUGUUACAUUUAUACCGUCUGACCUUUGACACCAGACUGUUCGGGAAGAACCCUUCCAAGCACUGGCCAUCCAUUUAUACUCAUAACACUGUCCAUCUGCAGGGA